rnacentral:tRNA from 1 species
GGGGGUGAAUCGGGCCUGGUGGCUCGCCUGGUCUUCAAAACCUGUGUGACGUCUGAAUAAGGCGUUGGGUGGGUUCGAUUCCCACGCACUCCCGCCA